AAAGAAAAAGAAAAUCUGCUUACAGUUCUGUUUCAUAUGGAUGUUGAGAGAUGUAUCCAUAGAUCUCCUAAUGUUGCUCUCAAAGUGUACCAGCUAAAAUAUUGCCUAGGGCGGCAAAUUGGUCAGGGCCGGCCCUGCCCUGCCCCGCCCAUUUAUUUAGCUUCCGGUUUAGUAGACAACGAAAAAAGUAAACAAUUAAUUAUAUUUAGCCUUUAGGAACAGUGCUUUGUAAUAACUCUCAGUACCAGAUUAAUUACCUAACCAAAACACAUUUACUACCCAAUAGCAUAGUUCCAUCCCCUGAAGACAAGGAAUGUGUCAUAGUAGAAAUGUGCAGCCCAAUGAAAGAAGGAAGCAUAAAGCUUGUACAUUUCUAUAACCCGUGUAAAAAUCUUCACAUUGAAACUUUACAGACAAUAGCAGGGACGAGUCAUAGAAGGGAAGUAUGGUGUGGUGAUUUUAAUGCUCACAACAGCCUAUGCGGAAGCAGUCAAACAGACAGUAAUGGUGAUGUUAGAGGAAAGAUCAUUGUUUUGCCUUAAUGAUGGACAAAAAACAAGAAUAGACGUGAAUAGGGGGACACAAUCAUGUUUGGACCUCACACUUGUGACGGAUAGUUUAGUUAAAUCGUGUGAAUGGAAUGUAAACGUGACUAUACCAUAGGAAGUGAUCAUUACCCAGUAUUCUCUAUCAUCAACACAAAUAGGAAGUGAGUAUAUUUUCCAGGUGGUGCUUUGGUAAAGCAGACUGGGAGAAAUGUAGAAUUCGCUGUAAGGAGUCAGCACAAUUGUUAGCAUUAGAAGGAAGUAUAGAGGAGUGCUCAAAUCAAAUCACAAUGCACAUUAAAGAAGCAGCAAAUAUAAUUAUACCAAAAAGAACAACAGAGGGUAUAGGAAGAAAGUGGUGCCGUGGUGGAAUGAGGAAUGUAGCAGAGCUAUUAAAGAACAAAACAAGGUAUUCAGUAACUACAGACAUAGCAUUAACAUCACACUUGUGUAAAUGGAUGGAGAAGAUGACAUAGACAUGUCUUAGAACAAAGAGGGUUGCUGAGUAAUUUCCAGACUGGUUUUCGCAAAGGAAGAUCCACAAUGCUUUGGUUAGAGUGAUCAAUGAGGUGGGAAUACAGUGUGAAGACACUGAAAAUGAAAGAGGUUAUGUAUGGCAAUAGUAUAUUUUGACAUUGAUAAAGCUUAUGACUCUAUGUGGAGGGAUGGGUUACUCAUCAAAUUAAGUGACAGGUGACAGUAACAGUGACAGUAACAGGAUCUUGGCUCAGACAGGAAAUUCAGAGUUCAAGUAGGGGCAGAGGUUUCGAAAGACUUCAAUAUAGAAAAUGGUAUUCCCCAAGGGAGUUCAAUCAGCCUGAUAUUAUUUAACAUUAUGAUAAAUGACAUAUUGACUAAGUUGGACGGAUGCAUCAAAUCUGCGUUGUAUGCAGAUGACGGGGACAUAUGGAUAAGGGGAAGAAAUGUUCCAGAAGUGGUCAUACAACUGGGGUUUCAAACUGUCAGCAAGCACAUCUUGCUUCAUGACAUUUACAAAUAAACGCAAGAUGGAGACUGAGAAGCUUACAUCAUAUGGAAAGCCGAUGAAUGAGGUCAAUGCAUUUAAAUAUCUGGGGCUAUGGUUAGAUAGUAAAUGUACAUGGAAAAACCAUAUUAAACAUUUGGAAACAAAAUCCCAAAAAGUUUUGAACCUAUUAAGAGCAGUGGCUGGAUGAGACUGGGGGCAGACAAACAGGCACUAAUUGACAUCUAUAGAGCAAUUAUGAGGACAACUCUGGAUUACGGGUGUAUAAUAUAUAUGCAGCAGCAGCAAAAACGUCAUUACUAAAAAUGGAUAGAUUACAAUACAAAGCAUUACGGUUGUGUAUAGGUGCAAUCAACAAUUAAUCAAUCAUUAUCACAAUUACCUCAAAAUAUAGCCAACACAGAUAGAUAGAUUCAACUUAUUGUCAUUACACAGUACAGGUACCGUGUAACGAAACGGUUUCUCUGCAUUUGACCCAUCCUAGUGUUAGGAGCAGUGGGCUGCCAUUAUGUACGGCACCCGGGGAGCAGUGUAGGGAACGGUGCUUUGCUCAGGGACACCUCGGUAGCACUUGGUAUUUCCGGGACUUGAACUGGUGACCUUCCAGUUGCCAAGCCCCUAUGGACUUCGCCACCACCGCCCGAUGGUUCUAAGAACAAGGAAGAGUGUGUUGGAGUUGUUAUAUAUAUCCCAGACUUUAAAAUAUCAAUUUCAAAAAGAGCGUCAGAUCAAUUAUCAGUGAGCAACAGAAAUGCUGGCUGUAAUAAUAGGAUUACAGUGGGUUGAAGAGGUCAGACCAGAUAGGGUGGUGAUAUGCACAGAUUCAUUAUCCAUUUUAAAAAGUAUACAGUCAACAACAACUGUCAGAAAAUAAUUACUCAUAUAACUUAAUCUAGGAAAUCCUGAUAGCUAGACUCAGACUGGAUCACACAGCAUUGAAUGUUACUCUAUGUCGUAGGAACUGUGGAGUUAAAGAAAAUGUGGAACAUAUCAUAUUACACUGCAACAUGUACAAAACAGAGAGGGAAAAACUAAGAGACAGGGAGAGUGGAGCCUGAUGGGGAUACUGGGAACAGAAGGUGAGGGGGUAAGAGCUACCAGGAAGGCCAUUCUUAAGUAUUUGAGUGAAAAAGGAUUGAUUGGAAGAAUUGAAAACAACGUAAACACAGUGGUAUAAUUCCACAAGUGCUGACAGGAUGAUAUGUUGAUACACGCUCUUGUACAGUAGGGGGCGGUAUGCACCUUAAAGUUGUUUGCAAUCCGCCAAAAAACCGAGAGAAGAAGAAGAAGAACGAUUAUACAUCCAUGGAACGACCAGACACAUGGCAGCAACGUUCCCAUCUGCUUCAUUCAUUUCUCCUGUUCAACAGAUUUCACAGCUGCCUGGGCCUAGCAGCAAGAACCUCCAUCUGUCCCUGCCCCCAGGUCAAGAUCUACCGUGGCUCAAGGGCCUUCACCGCAAAGGACCAGAGGACCAUCAUCACUACAGUGGCCUCCAUCUCCAUCUGCCACAAGAUUAAGAUACACCUCGGGACAAAGGCCUCCACCACAGCCAUCACGAUCAACCCAGCCAGCAAAGAAGUCUCGCCUAGCACCGCCUCGGUGAGACUCCAGAAAGCAUGGAGCAAGAGACGAUUUCUCUUUUGGCAGAACAACAGAAAAGAAACAACCAGCAAUCAAUAAAAGAAAAGAUGGCGAAGGCGUUUGGAUACUGAAGACAAGAAAUAGUGCAUCGGAGGCCAAGCAUUGAAGGCCUCUUGGAGCGGUGGCACUUUUUCACAUGGAAGAGGUAAAUGCUGAGUUAAUGCGCAUAACAACAAUUCCAUUGGAGACAAAGUUCUUGGCGCAGUUGGACAAACACUCAGGUCAUCAGGAGCAGGGGAGGAGUUGUGAAACAGAAGACCACCGGGAUCUUGCAGGUUUUGGAUGACGUAUCUAUGAAUGAGUUUUUUAUCUGUGGGAUCAGUGGCUGACUCCUCCUUUAUUUGCAUUUAAUUUAUUAUAUAUAUAUAUCUCUGUUCUUACUCAGACUGUGGACAUCGCCAUCAGAAGAGAAUGCAUCCUCAAAUCUCUAAUGAUCUACUUGGGUGAACCUGUUGACCAUCUCAUCAAAGAAUUCCAGGACGCUGAGGCUGGAGAACUGGAGCAGGCAACAAUGGAAGCCUUUGACACUGGGAAAGAGGAUCAGCUUCAUCGACCCAAAGACGUCAAGGUUCUCAUCGAAGGAACAGAGGUCCUCAGCGGCUUGCCCUCGGUUGCGACAGCUUUUGCCAUGCUCUUCGGGCUCAUAUACGCACUGAAAUGGGGCGAAGCCUGCGAGCUAGUUCAGGCAGUCAACUCGAGCACUUAUGCUGCAUUCAUACAUAACGCCCCCUUGCCACUCUACAACCAACCAAACAGAGUCUCCUUAAUAUGCCGCUCUAUUUAACCUGCCAGAUCUCUCUCCAUGCAUUGCUUGCUGCUGCUAUUGCCGCAGCUACCUCUACGUCGCUGCUGCUCGCUGCCCCACCACCACCCCAGCUUCCACCUGUAGGCUCUGGGUUAGUUAUUUAAUCAUCACUCAUCGUGCUAUGUAUAUCUAUGGAGUGAUGAUGCCCGAGCCUAGUCGCCAAACUCAACUAUAUGCUGCUUCUAAUAAACAUGUUAAAGGAACACGUGAGUUGUCUGACUGAACUUAAGAUAUCAGAAAUAACUGCAAUCCACUUUUGAAGUUGUGCAAAAAGUCCUGAUGGAGGGGGAAAAGAUGAGCCCAAAAGUGAAUAGACUGAGAACCCAGCUGGUAGACACUUUGUUGCACUCACUCACAGUUACCAUUGUUACAUGGUAAGGUUUCUAAAACCAAGGUUUUAUAAUAAUUAUGCAUUGUAAAACAUUUGCGAAAAAGUGUUGUGUUCAGAAGUUGCACUUACAGUAUGACCGAUUUUCACUGUAGAAGUUAUGCAUGUCUAAUCAUUCUCAGAGAUUACAUGUCUCACAGGCGCACGUUGUCAGUGUUGCUUUAAAAAAGUGUGCAGUGGAUAAUAAGGACAUGUCUUUUUUCUAAGAGUUUGAUGUUUGGAAGCGGCCCACAUAUUACCGCAUUUUAACUGUGGUACUUAUUAACAUGUCUAAGAUCAGGUAAUGGCUGCCUCAGAGGCCAAAGCUGGUUGUGUGAACAACUUGUUUUUCAUUCAAAUAAAUGUGCUCUGGUGUUAAAAUAUACAGAUUGAUCUGAAGAAAUUGAGUCAUUGUAAAAUAUUUCGUGUGAUUGAUUACUCUAAUAUUUUUUUGUUGGUACAACGUUUUACUUUUAUUAGUGUACCUUUCAGUUGCAUUGCACUCCUUAAACGUGUUUGAGACACUUUAGAUAAAAAUGUGGCUGUCAUUUGAUUAACUCUGAAAAUACAGAGGUUUUUAUUGAAUAAAUCACCCAAAAAUCA